rnacentral:rRNA from 1 species
CGAAGAACCCCGAUUGCGAAGGCAGCUUGCGGGAGCGCGACUGACGCUGAAGCUCGAAAGUGCGGGUAUCAAACAGGAUUAGAUACCCUGGUAGUCCGCACGGUAAACGAUGGAUGCCCGUUCUGCGGCCUUCGGGCCGCGGGACCAAGCGAAAGCAUUAAGCAUCCCACCUGGGGAGUACGCCGGCAACGGUGAAACUCAAAGGAAUUGACGGGGGCCCGCACAAGCGGAGGAACAUGUGGUUUAAUUCGAUGAUACGCGAGGAACCUUACCAAGUCUUGACAUCCCUUGCACGCUCUAGAGAUAGAGUUUUCCCCUUCGGGGGACAAGGUGACAGGUGGUGCAUGGUUGUCGUCAGCUCGUGUCGUGAGAUGUUGGGUUAAGUCCCGCAACGAGCGCAACCCUUGUGAAUAGUUGCUACGAAAGAGCACUCUAUUCAGACCGCCGUUGACAAAACGGAGGAAGGUGGGGAUGACGUCAAAUCAUCAUGCCCCUUAUGACCUGGGCUACACACGUACUACAAUGGCCAUCAACAGAGGGAAGCAAGGCCGCGAGGUGGAGCGAACCCCUAAAAAUGGUCUCAGUUCAGAUUGCAGGCUGAAACCCGCUUGCAUGAAGAUGGAAUUGCUAGUAAUCGCGGAUCAGCAUGCCGCGGUGAAUACGUUCCCGGGCCUUGUACACACCGCCCGUCACACCAUGAGAGCCGGGGACACCCGAAGUCGGUUGGGUAACCGUAAGGAGCCCGCCGCCGAA